rnacentral:rRNA from 1 species
CGCGAAGAACCUUACCAAGGCUUGACAUACACCAGAACGGGCCAGAAAUGGUCAACUCUUUGGACACUGGUGAACAGGUGGUGCAUGGUUGUCGUCAGCUCGUGUCGUGAGAUGUUGGGUUAAGUCCCGCAACGAGCGCAACCCUCGUUCUAUGUUGCCAGCACGUAAUGGUGGGAACUCAUGGGAUACUGCCGGGGUCAACUCGGAGGAAGGUGGGGAUGACGUCAAAUCAUCAUGCCCCUUAUGUCUUGGGCUUCACGCAUGCUACAAUGGCCGGUACAAAGGGCUGCAAUACCGUGAGGUGGAGCGAAUCCCAAAAAGCCGGUCCCAGUUCGGAUUGAGGUCUGCAACUCGACCUCAUGAAGUCGGAGUCGCUAGUAAUCGCAGAUCAGCAACGCUGCGGUGAAUACGUUCCCGGGUCUUGUACACACCGA